rnacentral:rRNA from 1 species
UACAGAGGUGGCAAGCGUUGUUCGGAAUCACUGGGCGUAAAGGGCGCGUAGGCGGCUUUUCAAGCGUGCGGUGAAAGCUCGGGGCUUAACUCCGAGUCUGCCGUGCGAACUGGGAGGCUUGAGUCUGGUAGAGGUCGAUGGAAUUCCGGGUGUAGCGGUGGAAUGCGUAGAGAUCCGGAAGAACACCGGUGGCGAAGGCGGUCGACUGGGCCAGUACUGACGCUGAGGCGCGACAGCGUGGGGAGCAAACAGG